rnacentral:rRNA from 1 species
CUGGCGGCGUGCCUAAUACAUGCAAGUCGAACGGUCUUUCUAUGGAAGCUUGCUUCCACUGAGAAGAUAGUGGCGAACGGGUGAGUAACACGUGGGUAACCUGCCCAUAAGAGGGGGAUAACAUCCGGAAACGGGUGCUAAUACCGCAUAGUUUUCUUGAUCGCAUGAUUGAGAAAGGAAAGACGGCCUUUGUGCUGUCGCUUAUGGAUGGACCCGCGGCGUAUUAGUUAGUUGGUGAGGUAACGGCUCACCAAGACGAUGAUACGUAGCCGACCUGAGAGGGUGAUCGGCCACAUUGGGACUGAGACACGGCCCAAACUCCUACGGGAGGCAGCAGUAGGGAAUCUUCCGCAAUGGACGAAAGUCUGACGGAGCAACGCCGCGUGAGUGAAGAAAGGUUUUCGGAUCGUAAAACUCUGUUGUCAGAGAAGAACAAGUUGGAGAGUAACUGCUCCAGCCUUGACGGUAUCUGACCAGAAAGCCACGGCUAACUACGUGCCAGCCGCUGC